CCCUCUGAUUUCUCCAUCUAUGUUUUCUGUGCAGGCUACCACAUUACUGAAGGAAAGCUGGCAAAAGAAGACUGAAAAACAGAGAAGGAGGAGGGGUUGUUGUUGAUUCUGCCCUCCCUCUCUCCUCGCCCUCCACUGCAUUGCCUCUUCCCUCCUCCUCUUCCCUUCCUCAUCCACUCCAUCCUCAGCAGACUGCCCCUUUUUCCUGUACAGCGAAACGCAGCCCGCGCCACCAUCUUAGAGCAACGCUGGCAUGAAAUGGAAGUGGGAAGACCAGUCAGUGCAGGAGGCGUUCAGUGGGCAUCUGUCCUCGAAGCGCAAGUUUUUCUUUCCCGUUUGGGAAUUCUGAUGCCAUCCUCACAUGCCUGCCCCGACAUGGCGGCGCCUGCCAUUUUGGAGCUACGAUGCAAUCCGUG
ensembl:lncRNA